rnacentral:sRNA from 1 species
AGCAGCCGCGGUAAUUCCAGCUCCAAUAGCGUAUAUUAAAGUUGUUGCAGUUAAAAAGCUCGUAGUUGAAUUUCGGGGUUCUACCGUUGGUCGGGCUAUAGUCUGUACUGGCGUGUGGAAUUUCUACCUUCUGGGGAACUAUCAUGUUAUUAAUUUAGCGUGGUAGGAAACCAGAACCUUUACCUUGAAAAAUUAGAGUGUUCAAAGCAGGCUUACGUCUGAAUACAUUAGCAUGGAAUAAUAAAAUAGGACGGUGGUCCUGUUUUGUUGGUUUCUGAAUCACCGUAAUGAUUAAUAGGGAUAGUUGGGGGCAUUAGUAUUCAAUUGUCAGAGGUGAAAUUCUUGGAUUUAUUGAAGACUAACUUCUGCGAAAGCAUUUGCCAAGGAUGUUUUCAUUAAUCAAGAACGAAAGUUAGGGGAUCGAAGACGAUCAGAUACCGUCGUAGUCUUAACCAUAAACUAUGCCGACUAGGAAUCGGACGAUGUUA